rnacentral:rRNA from 1 species
AACCUCCGCAAUGUGAGAAAUCGCGACGGGGGGAUCCCAAGUGCCAUUCUUAACGGGAUGGCUUUUCAUUAGUGUAAAAGCUUUUGGAAUAAGAGCUGGGCAAGACCGGUGCCAGCCGCCGCGGUAACACCGGCAGCUCUAGUGGUAGCAAUUUUUAUUGGGCCUAAAGCGUCCGUAGCCGGUUUAAUAAGUCUCUGGUGAAAUCCUGUAGCUUAACUGUGGGAAUUGCUGGAGAUACUAUUAGACUUGAGACCGGGAGAGGUUAGAGGUACUCCCAGGGUAGAGGUGAAAUUCUGUAAUCCUGGGAGGACCGCCUGUUGCGAAGGCGUCUAACUGGAACGGUUCUGACGGUGAGGGACGAAAGUUAGGGGCGCGAACCGGAUUAGAUACCCGGGUAGUCCUAACUGUAAACGAUGCGGACUUGGUGUUGGGGUGGCUUUGAGCUGCUCCAGUGCCGAAGGGAAGCUGUUAAGUCCGCCGCCUGGGAAGUACGGUCGCAAGACUGAAACUUAAAGGAAUU